GACGAACGCUGGCGGCGUGCUUAACACAUGCAAGUCGAACGGAAAGGCCCGGCUUUUGCGGGUUUUCCGUUGGCGGACGGGGGGUGAAAAACGCGUGUAUCCUCCCCUUAUCUUGGGGAUAUCUCUUGGAAACUGGGGCUAUAACCGGGUAGAAGAUCUUGCUCCUCGUUGGGGGUUGGAAAGUUUCGGCGGUUGGGGAUGGUAUCGAGGCUUACCAGCUGGUUGGGGGGGUAGUGGCUUACCAAGGCUUUGACGGGUAGCCGGCCUGGGAGGGUGACCGGCCACAUUGGGACUGAGAUACGGCCCAGACUCCUACGGGAGGCAGCAGUGGGGAAUAUUGCACAAUGGGCGGAAGCCUGAUGCAGCAACGCCGCGUGCGGGAUGACGGCCUUCGGGUUGUAAACCGCUUUCGCCUGUGACGAAGCGUGAGUGACGGUAAUGGGUAAAGAAGCACCGGCUAACUACGUG
rnacentral:rRNA from 1 species